AUUAGCACUCUGUAAAACACACCAAUCAGGAGGAUCCUAAGAGUAGCCAAUCACAGGGAGGAUUAAAAAAGGGCAUUGUGAUAGGACAGAAACGGAACAUGGUAGGGGACCAAUUAGGGAAUAAAAGUUGGCCACCCCAGCCAGCAGUGGCACUCGGGUCCUCUUCCAUGCUGUGGAAGCUUUGUCCUUUUGCUCUUCACAAUAAACCUUGCCACUGCUCACUCUCUGGGUUCGUCCCAUCUUUAAGAGCUGUAACAUUCACUGCCAAGGUCAGUAACUUCAUUCUUGAAGUCAGCCAGACCGGGAACCCACGGGCGGAACCAACUCCGGACACACCGGGCCCACCACGGGGAAUAAUACUGUAGACUGGAGGAUCUGCGGAGUCACCGGUCUGGCCCCUACAGGAAACCAGACGUAUGCUAGAGAACGACAGUGAUGACUGCAAAUUCACCAAGCGAUGUGUGAAUAGCCCUUACCACAGCAUCUGUGCCAGAUGUGGGAUCUUGGCUAGAGCAGAUUGACAUGGCUUCAGGAAUCUGGGCCAUGUUAACUAUACCACUUCUGUCAUGAGGGAUCAAAUGGACAUUGCCGUCAGAGCCUCAGUCAGCAUCACAAAACUCAGAAAGCAUUUGAUAUCCUCCUUCAGGAUCCUGUGUGACAGAGCAUGGGACCAAGGGCCUCACCUCGCAGCAAAGGAGGCACCACAGUGAACACAGGCCGAUGGGAUUGACCAGUUCUGGCACAUCCCCGUGAUAGAGCAUUGGAAAGUGCGGCUGAAGCAUCAUCUGGAGAGGAUGCUCUGAGAGGGUGGGAGGCCAUCCUCCACAACACAAUACUUACCCCAGACCAACGGCCAAUGUGUGUUGCUGUGUCUCAGUCAGUAGAAAUCAUGGGUCCAGGAACCAAGGCACAGAAACAGGAGUGGCAUUGCUCAUCGUAACACUUAGCGGCCCACCCGGGGACUCUGUGCUCCCUGAGUGCUCAGCAUAGGGGGUCUAAAGGUCCUGGUGCCCGGAGGAGGAAUGCUUCCUCCAGGGGACAUGGCAAAUUCCCUUUUCAUGUUCAGUGACAGGUGCUGUCAAGCCUCCCAGCUCCUAGGUCUAGAGACUGGUGGGGAGUAGGGGAGUCUCCAUCCUGCACAGGUCAUCAAACCUGUGCUGUCACACACUGGGGCAGAGAGGAUGUGUUUAGCAUCCAGGUGAUCUACUGGAUCAUUUCCUGGUACCUCCCUGCCCAAUUAUGAUGACAAAUGGACAAGGCCAGGAGCCACAGCUUGAGAAGGGCAUGACAACUCUCUGGGGCGAGAGUCGGCGCCACCCACCAUGUGAGCCCCUAGAGCAGCAGAGGCACUAGCCAAGGUGGAGGAGAACCUGGAGAACCUAGAAUGGGUGGCAGAGGAGGGAGGUGGUGAGUACCCGUGGUCCUGAGCCCAGCUGCAGCACAGGCACUGUGAUCACCCCUUUCGCCUUCUUCCUCUUGUAAGUAUUCCUGGGAAAAAAGAGACAAGGCAGUGUCCUGGGGGAGCUGUUCCCAGGUAGAACGGGACGCUACAAAACAAAUGGAUGCAGCUGUGGAGAGGGACGCCUGUAGAGGAUGCUAUAGAGCUGCCCAGCUCUGCCCUUCAAGGUUGAGGCCCCCAUUUCCCAGCUUUCAGGGGUGGUGCCUGCUGAUGGCUCCUGGCUGAAACCCUCCCCAAGAAUUGUCCUCUGCAGCCUAAAGGAGCUGCCCUGCCCGCGGCCAUGCCUGCUUUUCCCCGGGGCAGCUGCAUCUCCCAGCUGGGACCACACGGCAGUACAAAAGCCUGGGCUCCCUAGUCUCAAUUUGGGACAACACUGAGGGGCCAUCCCAGCCCCAGAGCUGCCUGUGGGAACAGCCACAGCCCCCAUUGUAGUUGCAUCCUAGUCAACUUCCCCCUCUGUCCAGCAGCCUCUCUCACCCCUUCCGGGUGGCGAUGUUCCCAGGUUCUGCCCUCAUCAACCCACCAUGUUCAUUUUUCUACCCCGAGUCUGGUUCCGGGGCGCCGCACGUGAGAUGGCAGGACUUGGGCACCUAGAGUCGUGUGUCUCAACAUGACAACUGCUUACUUCCUCAUUCCCUUUCCACCUUUCUGAAAAAUAUCAUUCUUCUUCUGGUAUUUCUCUAACAUCUCUUUCACACUUCCUGAUUCCCCUUGUUCACAGGAAGAGCAGCUGGCAGGUUCAUAAGAAAUUCAUGAGCCCAUGCUUCUUUUAUUUAUUUUUAUGGUUAACUUCUAUUUAUAACAAGGAAUGCUGGUUUUCCAUUUAUACUUGAGAUUUAAAGAUUCUGUUUAAAAUAAAUUUAAGUAAAACAGAGUGAGUGGGUUUUUAAAAAAACAGCUAAGUAAAUGAUAGCGAUGGCAGGCACGGUGAAGGUGGUUCACUGAAGGAUGGCGACCUGGGCAAUGCCUACACCAGCAAUUUCUCCGCCUGGGAGCCCCUCUGAGUCAGGUGAAUAAGCGCCCUGCAAAAACCAGCCCCAAGACUCCAUUCUUUGCCAAGGCACUGGCCCCUGCGUUUCAGAGAUAGUCGUGUCUUCUCGUAAGAUAUGUCCCACUGUGUGGAAUAAUCUUUCUCCACGUCUCAUCUGCAUCAGGCCAGCAAGGGCCUCGAGCGCUGAAUCUUUCUUACUCCCUGUUGUUGCUCAGGACCCCAUGUGGGCCGAGACACAGGGCAGGAUUUUAAAGUGGCCCCCAGAAUUCUGCCCCUGGUGCAUUUGCCCAUGGCAAUUCCAUCCUGAGUUGGGGUGGGGCCUUUGAAUAUGACGCAUGUCACUCCUGGGAUUCGCUUGUGUUAUACGGCAGAGGUGAUGAGAUUUUGUAUGUAUGUAAUUUAAGGCCCCAAACCAGCUGAUUCUGAUGGAAUGAAAAGGAAGAUUAUCCUGGGUGGGCCUGCCUUAAUCCGGUGACAGCCCUUGAAUGGAGGCCUAGGCCCUUUAUGAAGAGAGGGCUCCCAUGCUGGCCGUGUCCUGAGAAAGGGUCCUGUCAUGGGUCUCUAGGAGCUGGAGCCGUCGCUGAUGACAGCCCACAGGAAAGCGGGGCCCUUGUACUAUAGCUGCUAGGGGCUUGGGAGAGGGAGGACUUGGGCUCUGGAAAGGUCUGCAGCCUGGAGAACACCUGGAUGGCAGCCAUGUGGGAACCUGACUGGAGGCCCCAGCCAAGCUGUACCCAGACUCCGGGUCCAUGGAAGUUGUGAGAUAACACAAGUGUGCUGUUUUAAGCUGCUAAACUUGUGGACGUGUGUUAUGCAGUGUUAGGAAACUGGCACGGCAGCCUGGCAGACAUUGGCCGAGCGAGUGUGCAAGCCUGCAGGGCAUCCCGCCCACCGGCUCCUGAGAUUCACGGGCACUUUCCACCUGGGGAGAUGAGGCUGCCAGUGCAGGGAAGGGUUGGCAGCUGCUGCUGCCAUUGAAUUGCCCCUUACCUCACAUGGUGCAGACAACGAACAGGCCGGGCACUGCUCAGGGUCACUUAAGGUGGAGCAUGUCUGGGAACCCCUCUGAGCCUGGCCUCCUCAACCAUGCUUUCGGUGCUGGCCAGCGCAGUGCCCACUCCGUGACCUGGAAGGCAUCACAAUCUCCUUUUUCUUUGGUGACUUCAGCUGUCAAUGGAUCUCCCCACACUGCCGCCUCCCCAUGGGGUCUGAGCAGCAGGUGGAAUGUACCCUUCCUCUUCUCACCCACCCUCUGUCUCUGGGACACAGCGGCUCACCCCUCUGCCCUGGGCAGCCCUUCACCCUGGAGUUCUGCCUUGGGCACUUUGAUGGCCUGGCCCCUCGCCCCAGUCUCCCCUACUCCACCCUCCACCUUGCCACUCCACCCCUCACUCGCUGUUUUGUCUGCCUGCAUGGCUUCCUGCCUUCUUUAUUUUUGAAAUAGCUCUCUCCUUUCUGUGGAAGAAGACUUCCCCCAAACCGCACAUGAGGCUCGUUGGAGCUGCCUGUCUGAGAGGCUGCCUAACUGCCAUGCCAGGGGGUUGGUUUAUGACCUUGCCGGUCCUAACACCUUCCCCCAGCCACAGUGAAUCCCAGGAUAAAUCCUAAGUUGGGUUUAUCAUUGUUCUAUAGGAUUCUCCUAAGCAGACUUGGUGGUGAGAGCCCUGCUCUUCAGUUUGCUGAGGUGGAGUAAUGUCAGGUGGCCAGACCUGGCUGGUGCUGCCAAGGUCCCUGUAAUACAGAGACACCUGUCUCUAACUGAAGGGAACUGAGGCAGCAGAGGAGAGGAGGAGGCAGAGGAGCAGGAAGAAGAGAAGGAGGAGGAGGA